rnacentral:rRNA from 1 species
AGUGAACGCUGGCGGUAGGCCUAACACAUGCAAGUCGAACGGCAGCACAGUAAGAGCUUGCUCUUACGGGUGGCGAGUGGCGGACGGGUGAGGAAUACAUCGGAAUCUACUUUUUCGUGGGGGAUAACGUAGGGAAACUUACGCUAAUACCGCAUACGACCUACGGGUGAAAGCAGGGGAUCUUCGGACCCUGCGCGAUUGAAUGAGCCGAUGUCGGAUUAGCUAGUUGGCGGGGUAAAGGCCCACCAAGGCGACGAUCCGUAGCUGGUCUGAGAGGAUGAUCGGCCACACUGGAACUGAGACACGGUCCAGACUCCUACGGGAGGCAGCAGUGGGGAAUAUUGGACAAUGGGCGCAAGCCUGAUCCAGCCAUACCGCGUGGGUGAAGAAGGCCUUCGGGUUGUAAAGCCCUUUUGUUGGGAAAGAAAAGCAGCAGGUUAAUACCCCGCUGUUCUGACGGUACCCAAAGAAUAAGCACCGGCUAACUUCGUG